UACAGAGGUCUCAAGCGUUGUUCGGAUUCAUUGGGCGUAAAGGGUGCGUAGGCGGCUUGUCGCGUCGACUGUGAAAACCCGCGGCUCAACCGCGGGCCUGCAGCCGAUACGGGCAGGCUAGAGUUCGGUAGGGGAGACUGGAAUUCCUGGUGUAGCGGUGAAAUGCGCAGAUAUCAGGAGGAACACCGAUGGCGAAGGCAGGUCUCUGGGCCGAUACUGACGCUGAGGAGCGAAAGCGUGGGGAGCGAACAGG
rnacentral:rRNA from 1 species